CCUACGGGAGGCAGCAGUGGGGGAUAUUGCACAAUGGGGGAAACCCUGAUGCAGCGACGCCGCGUGUGGGAAGACGGUCCUCUGGAUUGUAAACCACUGUCCCCAGGGACGAAGAUGACGGUACCUGGGGAGGAAGCUCCGGCUAACUACGUGCCAGCAGCCGCGGUAAUACGUAGGGAGCGAGCGUUGUCCGGAAUUACUGGGUGAAAGGGGAGCGUAGGCGGGACUGCAAGUUGAGUGUCAAAUCUACCGGCUCAACCGGUAGCCGCAGGUAAAACUGCAGUUCUUGAGUGAAGUAGAGGCAGGCGGAAUUCCUAGUGUAGCGGUGAAAUGCGUAGAUAUUAGGAGGAACACCAGUGGCGAAGGCGGCCUGCUGGGCUUUUACUGACGCUGAGGCUCGAAAGUGUGGGGAGCAAACAGGAUUAGAUACCCCUGUAGUC
rnacentral:rRNA from 1 species